AUUGAACGCUGGCGGCAUGCCUUACACAUGCAAGUCGAACGGCAGCACGGGUGCUUGCACCUGGUGGCGAGUGGCGAACGGGUGAGUAAUAUAUCGGAACGUACCUUAUUGUGGGGGAUAACGCAGCGAAAGCUGUGCUAAUACCGCAUAAUCCCUAAGGGGGAAAGCGGGGGACCGUAAGGCCUCGCGCAAUUAGAGCGGCCGAUACCUGAUUAGCUAGUUGGUGAGGUAAAGGCUCACCAAGGCAACGAUCAGUAGCUGGUCUGAGGGGACGAUCAGCCACACUGGGACUGAGACACGGACCAGACUCCUACGGGAGGCAGCAGUGGGGAAUUUUGGAAAAUGGGGGCAACCCUGAUCCAGCAAUGCCGCGUGAGUGAAGAAGGCCUUCGGGUUGUAAAGCUCUUUUGUCAGGGAAGAAACAGCAGCUCUAACACAGUUUGCGAAUGACGGUACCUGAAGAAUAAGCACCGGCUAACUACGUGCCAGCAGCCGCCGUAA
rnacentral:rRNA from 1 species